CCGUGCACCACAACGAAGAGUAGCUAGCCCCCGCUCGCUGCAACUAGAGAAAGCCCGCACACAACAACGGAGACCCAACGCAGCCAAAAAUAAAUAAAUAAAUAAAAUUUGAAAAAAAAAAGUGUUUCCAGUAGUGGCGUCCAGCUGGCCAUCCUGUCUCUGGGCCAGAGCACACCUGUGGCCUGCUAAACCAAUCCAGGCUUACCCCCCAGGCCCCAGCACUGAGACGGGCGAAGGCCCUGGCAGCAGCCUCUCUUCAGGACCCCAUCAGUGAGAGGCCAGGGAGGCUGAGCCCUGACUUUGAGCUGAGCCUGGGAGGAGCAGAGCAACUGUCAAGGCCGGCCCUUGUCCCUCAGCCCUGUACAAUGAAAGGUAUGAGCCCUCGCCGGACCUGCACAGCACCCCCGGGACAGGGCUGGGACCAGUCAUGUCUCCAGGUGGGAGAGCCCCUCCCGCUCCUCCAGCCUACUUUAUUUGGAAAUACUGAGCUAUACUUUAAAAUGUAUUCAAGGGAUUUCCAAUAAACUUUUUCUGUACUUUAUAGCCUCCUGUCCUGCAAGCUGUCGAAAAACCUAGCCCACUUCCUCCCACCACUGGGCAGCCCCGGGUCACCGACAGGCUCCGUGGAGGGAAGAGCGGUGCCAUGUGAGGCACAGCAAGGUUUCAGAGCCAUUCAGGCUGUUUGGAGUCCUGGGGCCUUGGGCUGGUCGGGAAUUUUUUUUUUUUUU